rnacentral:lncRNA from 1 species
CUGGAUUUUGGAGCUGGAGUUCUCCACUUGCUGGGACAGCAGAGCCCUGGAGUGGGGAUGCUGUUUGCAGAACCCAGUGAAAACCUCUUGGAGCACAAUUUUACAGUUCUCUGCCUACCUGACAGGAAGUGGCAAGUGCCAGUGCUGACAUUUAGUGAACAAUGAUGGGAUGGCUCUGAUAGACAUCACCACCAUCAUAUUAAGUCUAUGCCAGAGUGGGAGCAGAGUUGGAUUCUCACCUCCAUUUGCCUGAAGACCCAAUGGAGGCUCAGUGUCUUGGGUACCUUGGCUCUGAAAAAAGGUGGACAGAAAGCCACAUGACCAGACCAUUUCCUUGGCCUCCUGUGGACCCCUCCUCUUUUCUCCCCAUCCCACAGCCCUGAAGCCCCCACACCCAGGCCAAAGAUUGCCUCUUCAAACAUGGGUAUGGCCAGUGCCCCACACCUGGGAUGUGGUGACUGCUUCAAACUGUCCACCACCCAGCUUGUGACAUUGUGCCCCUGUCCUUCCACGCUGGGCUCCCUGGAAUUGGCCCCUGGCCCACCAGCCCCUUCCCCAGGGUCUGUUGGCCUUGUCCAUCCCAGCCCACCUCAGUCACAGACCCUCAGCCCUCCUCCUGUCCUCUCUCCCUUGCCUUAGCCCAGCCCAGGAGACCCUCCCAAGAACACUGUUGGGCAGCAGCAGGGGAUUGUGUGGCCCUAGGGAAUCUGAGUGCCUGAGGCAGUUUCAGGAGAGGUGGGCCGCCUUCCUUUUUCCUGUUUUCCAGGCUGGUUUGCCAGUCUAAUUGUGCUUUCUCUCUCCAUACUACUGGUAAAGAACCAGAUGAUGACCACCAACAUCUGGCUAAAGCAGGGGAGCUGGAUUCUCACUUGGUGGCUCAGGGCUUCCAAGGUGACAGUUCCAAGAGGCACGAAGUAGAAGCUGCUGCGGUUCUCUUACUUUUGGACACUAGCCCAGCAUCAGUUCUGCUGUACUCCACUGAUCCAAAGGAAUCCAGCUGGAUCCAGGCUCUUCCCAGCCACUCCCCAAUCCCCAACACAGAGGAGGCUGGAGAGUAAAUGAAAGAGGACCCAGACCCUGGCACACAGCAUUUUCCUCCAGCCCACUGGUAUCUGCCUGUCCCUAUGGCAGAGCUUCCUCAUGCACAACCAAGAAGGACCAGUCUGACCAAAGGAACUAGGAGCUCACAGAAGG